AAAAGAACCUCGGGCUAACUUUCCUCAAAACAAUAGCUUCUGAUUUUUUUCUAAUUUAUUUCUUCAACUGUAAGUGCAAAAACCUGGAGUGCAGUCGAUAGGAAGAGAGAAGAAAGACUUCCAUGACAGACCUGAGAAAAAGUUCCUGAAGAUCAGCUGGCUUCUAGAAGAUGUGGAGAAGACAGCAGUCCCUGCCAGCAAACAGUACCCAGCAGACAAUCCAACCUCAAGUUCUGAUCUGGAAGACUAUGUUCCCCGGAAAGAAACUGAAAAUAGAUACAGAACUGAAAU